CCUCUAGACUAAAAGGGCUAGCAUGUAACAAGUGGGGGCUCGUCCGUUCAAGUGAAAGUUUACCUUGGUGUAAUUGUUUCAAGGCAGGCUACCAAACAAAUUAUUAAAGAUGACUUGCGUGAAAAGCUAGUCGAUGUAGGGAUUUUACCAGAUUACUCUGUUGUCGGUGCUGAGGAACAACCUGGAUUCACAGCACAAGCUGUGACCGUAGAUGCCAGUGCUACCGGUGCUGGAGCAGUCCUACUGCAGGAGGACUCCCGUGGAAUUGACCACCCCAUCUGCUUCUUCUCCAAGAAGUUCUCGAAAUGCCAACAACGCUACAGUACGAUUGAGAAGGAGGCCCUCGCCUUGCUGUUAGCUCUUCAGCAUUUCGAGGUUUACUUAGGAAGCAGUGCUGUGCCUAUCGACGUGCACACUGACCAUAACCCACUGAUCUUUCUCUCCCGCAUGUCCAACUCUAACCAACGUUUGAUGCGCUGGGCCCUAAUUGUCCAGGAGUAUAACCUUAAUCUCCAGUACAUCCGUGGUAAAGACAAUGUGGUGGCGGAUGCGCUCUCUAGGACUACAGAUUUGGAGACUUAACUGGGUUGGUCAAAACAAAACAAAAAAUUAUGACUGAGUGGCAUUACUAUUGGAGUUU